rnacentral:lncRNA from 1 species
AUUUGUUUUUAACUAAUUUCGUCCGCAGGCAAAGCAAAUGGAAUCACCUCCCAGACCAAAGUUGCACUAAUCCACGCUAUCCAGUCAAUGGACCUCCGCCAAACCAUCUACCCCACAUCACAGACGGUACCAUCAAUCAUACGGCUCAGAUGGAAAGAAGCUUCCCGGCAGUCACCAUCGCUAUCAAAGCGAUAGCACUCACCACCAUUGUUAUUACGCUCCCAUCCAUUCAUUUCAAGAUAAAUUUUUCUGCAGAGAGAGAGGCAUGAAGAAGUGCAGCUGUUCAAAAAACGGCGCAUAAUAUAUAAAAUUUUAAAUUAAUAAAAAAUAAUAGUAUAGACUAUAUGAGAUCAGAUAAUGAACUUUGCUCACGAUCAAACAUGACGCGUCAUUACUUUGGCCAAUCACAGAAAAAGAGAUACGUUUGGAUCUCGGUAACUCGGUGGUCCCACGCUCGCUGGCUCCAGCUGGUUGGCUCCGCAAGCUUUGCUCGUCCGAUCAGCGCACCCUAUCGUACCACAGAACUGGAUCCUCUGUUGCCCACGAUCCAUGGUAAAAAGAAAAUUAUCCACUUGAAAAUUCGACACGUGUACACUGAGGACAUCAAGGCACGUAAAUUAUGGGGCCCACGC